AAUUUUGUAUCUUUUUUUAUCUACGGACUCUGGUGACUCUGUGGUCCUCGUGCUUUUAGAUCUAUCAGCAGCAUUUGACACUGUUGACCACUCUACUUUGAUAUCUAGAUUAGAUAUGUGGGGAUAAAAGGAACUGUCCUUAUGUGGUUUCAGUCAUACCUCACUAACAGAAAAUUCUUAGUCAAGUUAAGUAACUUUUCUUCUUCUGUUUCUUAUCUAACCUGCGGUCUUCCUCAAGGCUCUAUCUUGGCGCCCUCUCUUUUCUCUUUGUACAAGCUACCUCUAGGAUCCAUUCUAAUAAGACAUGGGGUGUCUUUUCAUUUUUACACAGACGAUACCCAUAUUAAUGUUUUUGGGCCCUCUGACAAUUAUCAGGCAACCAGCUUAGACCUGGGUAGUUUAUCAGUGUUCAGAUAUUCACGUGUACAGAACCUGGGUGUUUUGUUAGAUGAUUCCUUAAAUCUUGACAAACAUAUCUCCUCUGUUAUAAGUUCUAGUUUUUAUCAACUUUGCCUGCUAUCAAAAAUCAAACCUUUCUUAAAUCAUAAAACUUUAGAGAUGGCUGUUCAUGCUGUUCAUGCUUUUAUCACCUCAUGCCUAGACUACUGCAAUUCACUAUGCUGUGGUAGUUCUAAGUUUUUAAUUGAUCUUCUUCAACUAGUUCAAAAUGCUUCUGCCAGAUUCCUUCACAAUAGCCACAAAAGCGCUCACAUUACUCCAAUCCUGUGGACCCUUUAUUGGCUGCCUAUUAAAUUCAGAAUUUACUUUAAAAUUAUUUUAUUUGUAUAUAAAUAUUUACAUGAUCUAGUUCCUAUCUAUUUAUCUGAAUUGCUGUAUCCAUAUACUCCCUCCAGAUGUUUAAGAUCCAGUGAUCAGAAUCUUCUUCUAGUCCCACAAUCCAGACUCAAACGUAGAGGGGAUCGAGCUUUCUCUGUGGUUGGGCCACGUUUGUGGAAUAACCUCCCUUUAGAGAUUAAACUUGCCCCUUCUCUGUCUACUUUAAAAUCUCUCCUAAAAACAUAUCUGUUUCCUUUGGCUUAUAAAUAAUUUUCUAUUAUGGUCUUUACUUAGUCUUCUAAGGGUUUAUACUUUGAUUCUCUUGUGUUGUGCUUAUUAUAUUUACUUAUUUUAUUAUUAGGGCAAGACCCUGUUUUAAUUGUUUAUUUGUGCUGAUUUUUAUAUUCUUUUACUCUGAAUCUCUGUACAGCACUUUGGUCAGCCAUGUGGCUGUUUUAUAUGUGCUAUAUAAAUAAAAUGAAACUUGAAACUUAUACAUACCUGCAUACAUACAUAUAUAACUUUAUAUAUAUUUUUAGUAACACUAAGGGUAAUUU
ensembl:lncRNA